rnacentral:rRNA from 1 species
GACAAACGCUGGCGGCGUGCAUAAAACAUGCAAGUCGGACGAGCCAAUCCCCGCAAGGGGAAAGGCUAGUGGCGAACGGCUGAGUAACACGUAGGUGACCUGCCCUGAAGUGGGGGAUAACGACUCGAAAGAGUCGCUAAUACCGCAUGUGACCACCGAUCCGUUUUCGGUGCUCAAAGUCGCAAGACGCUUUAGGAGGGGCCUGCGGCGGAUUAGCUAGUUGGUGAGGUAAUGGCCCACCAAGGCUUAGAUCGGUAGCUGGUCUGAGAGGAUGAUCAGCCACACUGGAAUUGAGAUACGGUCCAGACUCCUACGGGUGGCAG